rnacentral:rRNA from 1 species
CCUACGGGCGGCAGCAGUCGAGAAUCAUUCACAAUGGGGGAAACCCUGAUGGUGCGACGCCGCGUGGGGGAAUGAAGGUCUUCGGAUUGUAAACCCCUGUCAUGUGGGAGCAAAUUAAAAAGAUAGUACCACAAGAGGAAGAGACGGCUAACUCGGUGCCAGCGGCCGCGGUAAUACAGAGGUCUCAAGCGUUGUUCGGAAUCACUGGGCGUAAAGCGUGCGUAGGCUGUUUCGUAAGUCGUGUGUGAAAGGCGCGGGCUCAACCCGCGGACGGCACAUGAUACUGCUAGACUAGAGUAAUGGAGGGGGAACCGGAAUUCUCGGUGUAGCAGUGAAAUGCGUAGAUAUCGAGAGGAACACUCGUGGCGAAGGCGGGUUCCUGGACAUUAACUGACGCUGAGGCACGAAGGCCAGGGGAGCAAACAGGAUUAGAUACCCCAGUAGUC